GCUUGUUUAAAUUUAUAAUCUUCUAUUAUGCAGGUGUUACAGGAGUUGGCAACGAAAGCCUCCAUGGAUGUGGAUGCAGCUAAUGUAAAGGAGGGAGUGUUGGAGCAGCAGGGGAUUAUCGACGGGGUGGAAGAACAAGAGGAUUCAAACCCAGGGUUAGAUGAAGCAGACACGACAGUUGGUACACU